ensembl:lncRNA
AUGCUCACAGCUGUGGUUAACAAGACAGGAAGUCAGAAUUUUCAAGUGGGAGAAGAUUAUGAAGUGAUAAAAAUGAUAAAAAAUAAGAAUGGAGGAGAACAGACAAGGGAAAGAGUACAUUUAAACGUGAGAGAAGAGAAGUCUGACCAGCGAUUUGCAGCAAUGGUGAACAAUAAGACACUGAUGGUGGUCGUCCUCCUAAGUAUAUUUGUGGCAGGAAAUCAAACAAAAGGAGAUCAAGACCCUGCAUCUCAACAGAAUAAAGAUUCUGCCAUUAAACAGCUGACAGAUUUCAAAGAGCAGAACUUUAUUCCAGGCAGUGAUGUGAUUUUACAGUGUGGCAAUGCCACUGUUAUCAAUUGGAAUGAAUUAAUUUAUAUUGUCUGGAACAUCAGCCUGGAAGGCAGAAAAUGUUGGCUGGGUUUGUCACCCAAGCUGGACGACACAUGUAAAGAUGGAAAGAGGCUGUUAAACACCUCAGAUGGAGUUUCUUUAGUCAUUCCCAAGAUUUCAACAAGAGAUGAAGGAUUUUAUUCGUGUGAUGUAUCAUAUAAAGCAGGAAGCUAUGCUGUAAAUGUGUCUGUAAGCGGUGAGUACAAAAUAUUUAUUGUAAAACUAUUGAAAAACUGUACUAACCUUUUGUUUGAUUUCCUGCCACAAACAUCAUAGAUUAGAUAUAUCUCUCAAACUCCCACUGUGGUCAUGAACUACAAAAAAGGAAAAAGAAAAAAAAUGUAAUUUGAUUUCCUGCCACAAACAUCAUAGAUUAGAUAUAUCUCUCAAACUUCCACUGUAGUCAUGAACUACAAAAAAAGGAAAAGAAAAAAAAAUAAUUAAAGAUUUUUGUUUUUAGUUACCCAACUUUUCACCAAGCAGAGUGAAAACAAUCAAAGGAUUGCUGUCUGUCAGGCCACAUACACACAAAAGACAGCACCCACUCUUCACUGGGAACCUGCCUUGAACUUUUCCUCCAGUAACAGUUCUGUAAAGA